GCCUGGGUGGCUCAGUGGUUGAGCGUCUGCCUUCAGCUCAGGGUGUGAUCCCGGGGUCCAGGAUUGAGUCCUGCACCAGGCU
rnacentral:tRNA from 1 species